ACGGGAGGCAGCAGUAGGGAAUAUUGGGCAAUGGGCGCAAGCCUGACCUAGCAACACCGCGUGAAUGAUGAAGGUCUUCGGAUUGUAAAGUUCUGUGAUGGGGGACGAAAAAACUGACGGUACCCCAAGAGCAAGCUCCGGCUAACUACGUGCCAGCAGCCGCGGUAAUACGUAGGGAGCAAGCGUUGUCCGGAAUGACUGGGCGUAAAGGGUACGUAGGUGGCUAUUCAAGUUAGUUGUGAAAUCCCGGGGCUCAACUCCGGUGCUACAAUUAAGACUGUUUAGCUUGAGUGCAGGGGGGGUAAGUGGAAUUCCUAGUGUAGCGGUGGAAUGCGUAGAUAUUAGGAAGAACACCGGUGGCGAAGGCGACUUACUGGACUGUAACUGACACUGAAGUACGAAAGCGUGGGGAGCAAACAGGAUUAGAUACCCUGGUA
rnacentral:rRNA from 1 species